rnacentral:rRNA from 1 species
GAUGAACGCUGGCGGCGUGCCUAAUACAUGCAAGUCGAGCGAACAGACGAGGAGCUUGCUCCUCUGUCGUUAGCGGCGGACGUGUGAGUAACAUGUGGAUCACCUCCCUAUAAGACUGGGAUAACUUCGGGAAACCGGAGCUAAUACCGGAUAAUAUACUGAACCGCAUGGUUCAAUAGUGAAAGUCGGUUUUGCUGUCUCUUCUAGAUGGAUCCGCGCCGCAUUAGCUGGUUGGUAAGGUCACGGCUUACCAAGGCGACGCUGCGUAGCCGACGUGACCGGGUGAUAGGCCACCCGGGAGCGGGAACGCGGACAAGACUCCUGCGAGAGGGAGCAGAAGGGUACGUUAGGCAAUGGGCGGGAGCCUGACAGAACAGCGCCGAGUGUGUGAUGACAGUGUUGGGAUCGUGAUGAUCUGUUAUGAGGGAAGAACAGAUGUGUAAGUAGACAAGCACUUAUUGACGGUAACUGAUAAGAAAGCCACGGCUAACUACGUG